rnacentral:rRNA from 1 species
GACGAACGCUGGCGGCGUGCCUAAUACAUGCAAGUUGAGCGCUGAAGGUUGGUACUUGUCCCAACUGGAUGAGCAGCGCACGGGUGAGUAACGCGUGGGGAAUCUGCCUUUGAGCGGGGGACAACAUUUGGAAACGAAUGCUAAUACCGCAUAAAAACUUUAAACACAAGUUUUAAGUUUGAAAGAUGCAAUUGCAUCACUCAAAGAUGAUCCCGCGUUGUAUUAGCUAGUUGGUGAGGUACAGGCUCACCAAGGCGAUGAUACAUAGCCGACCUGAGAGGGUGGGCGGCCACAUUGGGACUGAGACACGGCCCAAACUCCUACGGGAGGCAGCAGUAGGGAAUCUUCGGCAAUGGACGAAAGUCUGACCGAGCAACGCCGCGGGAGUGAAGAAGGUUUUCGGAUCGUAGAACUCUGUUGGUAGAGAAGAACGUUGGUGAGAGUGGAAAGCUCAUCAAGUGACGGUAACUACCCAGAAAGGGACGGCUAACUACGUG